rnacentral:rRNA from 1 species
UGCCAGCCGCUGCGGUAAUACGGAGGGGGUUAGCGUUGUUCGGAAUUACUGGGCGUAAAGCGCACGUAGGCGGAUUGGAAAGUUGGGGGUGAAAUCCCGGGGCUCAACCCCGGAACUGCCUCCAAAACUAUCUGUCUAGAGUUCGAGAGAGGUGAGUGGAACUCCGAGUGUAGAGGUGAAAUUCGUAGAUAUUCGGAAGAACACUAGUGGCGAAGGCGGCUCACUGGCUCGAUACUGACGCUGAGGCGCGAAGGCGUGGGUAGCGAACAGGAUUAGAUA